AGCCGCGGUAAUACGUAGGUGGCAAGCGUUGUCCGGAAUGACUGGGCGUAAAGGGUGCGUAGGCGGCUAAUCAAGUUGGAAGUGUAAUCCCCGGGCUUAACUCGGGUGCUACUUCCAAAACUGGAUAGCUUGAGUGUGGGAGAGGUAAGCGGAAUUCCUAGUGUAGCGGUGGAAUGCGUAGAUAUUAGGAGGAACACCAGCGGCGAAGGCGGCUUACUGGACCAUAACUGACGCUGAGGCACGAAAGCGUGGGGAGCAAACAGGAUUAGAUACCCUGGUAGUCCACGCUGUAAACGAUGGAUACUAGGUGUAGGGGGUAUCGACUCCCUCUGUGCCGUAAGCAAACGCAAUAAGUAUCCCGCCUGGGGAGUACGACCGCAAGGUUAAAACUCAAAGGAAUUGACGGGGACCCGCACAAGCAGCGGAGCAUGUGGUUUAAUUCGAAGCAACGCGAAGAACCUUACCAAGGCUUGACAUCGCCUGCAUAGUAUAGAGAUAUAUGAAGUUAUAGCAAUAUAACAGGCAGACAGGUGGUGCAUGGCC
rnacentral:rRNA from 1 species